UACAGAGGAGCCAAGCGUUGUCCGGAUUGACUGGGCGUAAAGCGCACGCAGGCGGACGCGCGCGUGGGGUGUGAAAUCUGGCCGCUUAACGGCCAGGCGCCAUCCCAUACGGCGCGUCUGGAGUGAUGCAGAGGUCGAUGGAAUUGCCGGUGUAGUGGUGAAAUGCGUAGAGAUCGGCAGGAACACCCAGGGGGAAACCAGUGGACUGGGCAUGUGCUGACGCUCAGGUGCGAAAGCGUGGGGAGCGAACCGG
rnacentral:rRNA from 1 species